AUUGAACGCUGGCGGCAGGCCUAACACAUGCAAGUCGAACGGUAACAGGAAGACGCUUGCUUCUUUGCUGACGAGUGGCGGACGGGUGAGUAAUGUCUGGGAAACUGCCUGAUGGAGGGGGAUAACUACUGGAAACGGUAGCUAAUACCGCAUAACGUCGCAAGACCAAAGAGGGGGACCUUCGGGCCUCUUGCCAUCGGAUGUGCCCAGAUGGGAUUAGCUAGUAGGUGGGGUAACGGCUCACCUAGGCGCCGAUCCCUAGCUGGUCUGAGAGGAUGACCAGCCACACUGGAACUGAGACACGGUCCAGGCUCCUACGGGAGGCAGCAGUGGGGAAUAUUGCACAAUGGGCGCAAGCCUGAUGCAGCCAUGCCGCGUGUAUGAAGAAGGCCUUCGGGUUGUAAAGUACUUUCAGCGGGGAGGAAGGGAGUAAAGUUAAUACCUUUACUCAUUGACGUUACCCGCAGAAGAAGCACCGGCUAACUCCGUG
rnacentral:rRNA from 1 species